UGCUCUGCAUACAGUUAGAGUCCCUGAUAAUAAAGAAGCGGAGAACGAUAACUGCAACAUCUUCCUACUUCACAGAGUUGUUCAGGGCACCAAAUGACAAUAUAGAUGAAAAUUUGGACUAUACAGAUUAAAAAUGGGAGGUGGGGGAAGAUAUAUACAUCACCACAAAAUUCACAAUCUGCAAAGCUUACAGAGUUCUGAACAUUGAGCAGAGUUUAGGGAAGUUGGCCCUGUUGAAAAGAGUAAAUAAGACUGAAGGAAGACACGGUAACUCUCAAGUCUAUAAAGGGUCUUCAAAAAUUUUUAAGACUAAAGGAGUCCUGAGACCAAGUAUUUGUGAACCAGUGGCACAACCAUUAGAACCCAUCG